rnacentral:lncRNA from 1 species
UGUCAUAGAAAGUUAAAUGUGAAAUAAAAUUUUGUUAUUGAUAUUAACAAGUUGAAGUGAGGUUGGCCAAAUUGUGUAGGUAACGAAAUACGUUAAAAUGCAUAUGGUAUUGAAGAUUACAGUAUGUAAUUAAAUAAUGAAGUUGACACAGCCUUGUAUAAGAGCAGUUGUCAAUAUAUAAUGUUGAAAUUGUACCAAAAGUUGUCAGAGAAAGUUUUAAAUGUGAAAUAAAAUUUUGUUAUUGAUAUUAACAAGUUGAAGUGAGGUUGGCCAAAUUGUGUAGGUAACGUAAUACGUUAAAAUGCAUAUGGUAUUGAAGAUUACAGUAUGUAAUUAAAUAAUGAGUUUACCAUACCAUUGUAGACGAGGAGAUGGCUACAAUAUUGUAUAUGUCUAAUGUAUAUAAUAUUGUUAUUGUAGUAAAGUUAAUUAUAGUAAAUUUUAAGUGUGUUGUACAUUUUUGUUAUUGAUUUUAAAAAGUUGAAGUGAGGUUGGCCAAACUGUGUAGGUAACGAAAUAUGUUGAAAUGCUUAUGGUAUUGAAGAUUACAGUAUGUAAUUAAAUAAUGAAGUUGACACAGCCUUGUAUAAGAGCAGUUGUCAAUAUAUAAUGUUGAAAUUGUACCAAAAGUUUGCAAAGAAAGUUUUAAAUGUGAAAUAAAAUUUUGUUAUUGAUAUUAACAAGUUGAAGGGAGGUUGGCCAAAUUGUGUAGGUAACGAGAUACGUUAAAAUGCAUAUGGUAUUGAAGAUUACAAUAUGUAAUUAAAUAAUCAAGGUGACACAGCCUUGUAUAAGAGCAGUUGUCAAUAUAUAAUGUUGAAAUUGUACCAAAAGUUUGCAUAGAAAGUUUUAAAUGUGCAAUAAAAUUUUGUUAUUGAUAUUAACAAGUUGAAGUGAGGUUGGCCAAAUUGUGUAGGUAACGAAAUACGUUAAAAUGCAUCUGGUAUUGAAGAUUACAGUAUGUAAUUAAAUAAUGAAGUUGACACAGCCUUGUAUAAGAGCAGUUGUCAAUAUAUAAUGUUGAAAUUGUACCAAAAGUUUGCAUAGAAAGUUUUAAAUGUGCAAUAAAAUUUUGUUAUUGAUAUUAACAAGUUGAAGUGAGGUUGGCCAAAUUGUGUAGGUAACGAAAUACGUUAAAAUGCAUCUGGUAUUGAAGAUUACAGUAUGUAAUUAAAUAAUGAAGUUGACACAGCCUUGUAUAAGAGCAGUUGUCAAUAUAUAAUGUUGAAAUUGUACCAAAAGUUGUAAUAGAAAGUUUUAAAUGUGAAAUAAAAUUUUGUUAUUGAUAUUAACAAGUUGAAGUGAGGUUGGCCAAAUUGUGUAGGUAACGAAAUACGUUAAAAUGCAUCUGGUAUUGAAGAUUACAGUAUGUAAUUAAAUAAUGAAGUUGACACAGCCUUGUAUAAGAGCAGUUGUCAAUAUAUAAUGUUGAAAUUGUACCAAAAGUUUGCAAAGAAAGUUUUAAAUGUGAAAUAAAAUUUUGUUAUUGAUAUUAACAAGUUGAAGGGAGGUUGGCCAAAUUGUGUAGGUAACGAGAUACGUUAAAAUGCAUAUGGUAUUGAAGAUUACAGUAUGUAAUUAAAUAAUGAAGUUGACACAGCCUUGUAUAAGAGCAGUUGUCAAUAUAUAAUGUUGAAAUUGUACCAAAAGUUUGCAAAGAAAGUUUUAAAUGUGAAAUAAAAUUUUGUUAUUGAUAUUAACAAGUUGAAGGGAGGUUGGCCAAAUUGUGUAGGUAACGAGAUACGUUAAAAUGCAUAUGGUAUUGAAGAUUACAGUAUGUAAUUAAAUAAUGAAGUUGACACAGCCUUGUAUAAGAGCAGUUGUCAAUAUAUAAUGUUGAAAUUGUACCAAAAGUUUGCAAAGAAAGUUUUAAAUGUGAAAUAAAAUUUUGUUAUUGAUAUUAACAAGUUGAAGUGAGGUUGGCCAAAUUGUGUAGGUAACGAGAUACGUUAAAAUGCAUAUGGUAUUGAAGAUUACAGUAUGUAAUUAAAUAAUGAAGUUGACACAGCCUUGUAUAAGAGCAGUUGUCAAUAUAUAAUGUUGAAAUUGUACCAAAAGUUUGCAAAGAAAGUUUUAAAUGUGAAAUAAAAUUUUGUUAUUGAUAUUAACAAGUUGAAGGGAGGUUGGCCAAAUUGUGUAGGUAACGAGAUACGUUAAAAUGCAUAUGGUAUUGAAGAUUACAGUAUGUAAUUAAAUAAUGAAGUUGACACAGCCUUGUAUAAGAGCAGUUGUCAAUAUAUAAUGUUGAAAUUGUACCAAAAGUUUGCAUAGAAAGUUUUAAAUGUGAAAUAAAAUUUUGUUAUUGAUAUUAACAAGUUGAAGUGAGGUUGGCCAAAUUGUGUAGGUAACGAAAUACGUUAAAAUGCAUAUGGUAUUGAAGAUUACAGUAUGUAAUUAAAUAAUGAAGUUGACACAGCCUUGUAUAAGAGCAGUUGUCAAUAUAUAAUGUUGAAAUUGUACCAAAAGUUGUCAUAGAAAGUUUUAAAUGUGAAAUAAAAUUUUGUUAUUGAUAUUAACAAGUUGAAGUGAGGUUGGCCAAAUUGUGUAGGUAACGAAAUACGUUAAAAUGCAUAUGGUAUUGAAGAUUACAGUAUGUAAUUAAAUAAUGAAGUUGACACAGUCUUGUAUAAGAGCAGUUGUCAAUAUAUAAUGUUGAAAUUGUAGUAAAAUAAUGCAAAGUAAAUUUUUACUGGAAAAUAUAAUUUUGUUAUUGAUAUUAACCAGUAGAAGUGAUGUUCUUGGACAGAUUUAUACUGAAAUGAAAUAAUAAGUUACACAGGCGUGUAAAAGAGCAGCUGUAAAUGUUAAUGUCGUAUUACCAUGUGUUAAGUAGAUAUGUAGUGUAAAAUAAGUCUUUUUAUUUUAUUAACAAGUUAAGUAAUGUUGGCUAAACUGCAGGUAAUGAAAUUCAUUGAAAUGCACAAGGCAUGGAAGAUACUGGUAUAAAAUAAAAUAAUGAGUUUGUUAUAACCUUUUAGGCGAACAGAUGGCUACACUAUUGUAUAUGUCUAAUGUAUAUAAUAUUGUUAUUGUAGUAAGGUUAAUUAUAGUAAAUUUUAAGUGUGUAGUACAUUUUUGUUAUUGAUUUUAACAAGUUGAAGUGAGGUUGGCCAAACUGUGUAGGUAACGAAAUAUGUUGAAAUGCUUAUGGUAUUGAAGAUUACAGUAUGUAAUUAAAUAAUGAAGUUGACACAGCCUUGUAUAAGAGCAGUUGUCAAUAUAUAAUGUUGAAAUUGUACCAAAAGUUUGCAAAGAAAGUUUUAAAUGUGAAAUAAAAUUUUGUUAUUGAUAUUAACAAGUUGAAGGGAGGUUGGCCAAAUUGUGUAGGUAACGAGAUACGUUAAAAUGCAUAUGGUAUUGAAGAUUACAGUAUGUAAUUAAAUAAUGAAGUUGACACAGCCUUGUAUAAGGGCAGUUGUCAAUAUAUAAUUUUGAAAUUGUACCAAAAUUUGUCAUAGAAAGUUAAAUGUGAAAUAAAAUUUUGUUAUUGAUAUUAACAAGUUGAAGUGAGGUUGGCCAAAUUGUGUAGGUAACGAAAUACGUUAAAAUGCAUAUGGUAUUGAAGAUUACAGUAUGUAAUUAAAUAAUGAAGUUGACACAGCCUUGUAUAAGAGCAGUUGUCAAUAUAUAAUGUUGAAAUUGUACCAAAAGUUGUCAGAGAAAGUUUUAAAUGUGAAAUAAAAUUUUGUUAUUGAUAUUAACAAGUUGAAGUGAGGUUGGCCAAAUUGUGUAGGUAACGUAAUACGUUAAAAUGCAUAUGGUAUUGAAGAUUACAGUAUGUAAUUAAAUAAUGAGUUUACCAUACCAUUGUAGACGAGGAGAUGGCUACAAUAUUGUAUAUGUCUAAUGUAUAUAAUAUUGUUAUUGUAGUAAAGUUAAUUAUAGUAAAUUUUAAGUGUGUUGUACAUUUUUGUUAUUGAUUUUAAAAAGUUGAAGUGAGGUUGGCCAAACUGUGUAGGUAACGAAAUAUGUUGAAAUGCUUAUGGUAUUGAAGAUUACAGUAUGUAAUUAAAUAAUGAAGUUGACACAGCCUUGUAUAAGAGCAGUUGUCAAUAUAUAAUGUUGAAAUUGUACCAAAAGUUUGCAAAGAAAGUUUUAAAUGUGAAAUAAAAUUUUGUUAUUGAUAUUAACAAGUUGAAGGGAGGUUGGCCAAAUUGUGUAGGUAACGAGAUACGUUAAAAUGCAUAUGGUAUUGAAGAUUACAAUAUGUAAUUAAAUAAUGAAGUUGACACAGCCUUGUAUAAGAGCAGUUGUCAAUAUAUAAUGUUGAAAUUGUACCAAAAGUUUGCAUAGAAAGUUUUAAAUGUGCAAUAAAAUUUUGUUAUUGAUAUUAACAAGUUGAAGUGAGGUUGGCCAAAUUGUGUAGGUAACGAAAUACGUUAAAAUGCAUCUGGUAUUGAAGAUUACAGUAUGUAAUUAAAUAAUGAAGUUGACACAGCCUUGUAUAAGAGCAGUUGUCAAUAUAUAAUGUUGAAAUUGUACCAAAAGUUUGCAUAGAAAGUUUUAAAUGUGAAAUAAAAUUUUGUUAUUGAUAUUAACAAGUUGAAGUGAGGUUGGCCAAAUUGUGUAGGUAACGAAAUACGUUAAAAUGCAUCUGGUAUUGAAGAUUACAGUAUGUAAUUAAAUAAUGAAGUUGACACAGCCUUGUAUAAGAGCAGUUGUCAAUAUAUAAUGUUGAAAUUGUACCAAAAGUUGUCAUAGAAAGAUUUAAAUGUGAAAUAAAAUUUUGUUAUUGAUAUUAACAAGUUGAAGUGAGGUUGGCCAAAUUGUGUAGGUAACGAAAUACGUUAAAAUGCACAGUAUGUAAUUAAAUAAUGAAGUUGACACAGCAUUGUAUAAGAGCAGUUGUCAAUAUAUAAUGUUGAAAUUGUACCAAAAGUUGUCAUAGAAAGUUUUAAAUGUGAAAUAAAAUUUUGUUAUUGAUAUUAACAAGUUGAAGUGAGGUUGGCCAAAUUGUGUAGGUAACGAAAUACGUUAAAAUGCAUAUGGUAUUGAAGAUUACAGUAUGUAAUUAAAUAAUGAGUUUACCAUACCAUUGUAGACGAGGAGAUGGCUACAAUAUUGUAUAUGUCUAAUGUAUAUAAUAUUGUUAUUGUAGUAAAGUUAAUUAUAGUAAAUUUUAAGUGUGUUGUACAUUUUUGUUAUUGAUUUUAACAAGUUGAAGUGAGGUUGGCCAAAUUGUGUAGGUAACGAAAUACGUUAAAAUGCUUAUGGUAUUGAAGAUUACAGUAUGUAAUUAAAUAAUGAAGUUGACACAGCCUUGUAUAAGAGCAGUUGUCAAUAUAUAAUGUUGAAAUUGUACCAAAAGUUGUCAAAGAAAGUUUUAAAUGUGAAAUAAAAUUUUGUUAUUGAUAUUAACAAGUUGAAGUGAGGUUGGCCAAAUUGUGUAGGUAACGAAAUACGUUAAAAUGCAUAUGGUAUUGAAGAUUACAGUAUGUAAUUAAAUAAUGAAGUUGACACAGCCUUGUAUAAGGGCAGUUGUCAAUAUAUAAUGUUGAAAUUGUACCAAAAGUUUGCAAAGAAAGAUUUAAAUGUGAAAUAAAAUUUUGUUAUUGAUAUUAACAAGUUGAAGUGAGGUUGGCCAAAUUGUGUAGGUAACGAAAUACGUUAAAAUGCAUAUGGUAUUGAAGAUUACAGUAUGUAAUUAAAUAAUGAAGUUGACACAGCCUUGUAUAAGAGCAGUUGUCAAUAUAUAAUGUUGAAAUUGUACCAAAAGUUUGCAAAGAAAGAUUUAAAUGUGAAAUAAAAUUUUGUUAUUGAUAUUAACAAGUUGAAGUGAGGUUGGCCAAAUUGUGUAGGUAACGAGAUACGUUAAAAUGCAUAUGGUAUUGAAGAUUACAGUAUGUAAUUAAAUAAUGAAGUUGACACAGCCUUGUAUAAGAGCAGUUGUCAAUAUAUAAUGUUGAAAUUGUACCAAAAGUUGUCAUAGAAAGUUGAAUGUGAAAUAAAAUUUUGUUAUUGAUAUUAACAAGUUGAAGUGAGGUUGGCCAAAUUGUGUAGGUAACGAAAUACGUUGAAAUGCAUAUGGUAUUGAAGAUUACAGUAUGUAAUAAAAUAAUGAAGUUGAUACAGCCUUGUAUAAGAGCAGUUGUCAAUAUAUAAUGUUGAAAUUGUACCAAAAGUUUUCAUAGAUAGUUUUAAAUGUGAAAUAACAUUUUGUUAUUGAUAUUAACAAGUUGAAGUGAGGUUGGCCAAAUUGUGUAGGUAACGAAAUACGUUAAAAUGCAUAUGGUAUUGAAGAUUACAGUAUGUAAUUAAACAAUGAAGUUGA